GUAAUUAUAAAACUCCCCAAGUCUCCCGACUCUCUUCUUUCCUUUUCAGUUCGCUUCUUCCUUUGAACCCUUUGCUAUCUUCUUCUUAAUAUUCUGGGUGCCAUGGCUGCACGGAUGAUACCUUUGGUAUACCUCCUGUACGACGUCGUAGGAUCGUGAAGAUUUGAUCUCUCUGCCGCUCUGGGUAUUGUUUUCGGAUGCCAAGUUUUGAUUCAAAACGCUAUUCAGAUCCAGCCUGAAGACUUGUAUCACUGUGACCAGUGAGUAAGAUAAAUGGAGGUUAUUUGAGCUUGUAUGGAAACCAAAAUGCGGUGCUUCCUUAUUAUUAUUUUUUUAAAUUAGGUAAUUUGCUAGUGAUGAGAGAGGGCUUACGAUCCAGUGUCAAAUUGUUGGCGAAAACCGACGAGGUUAAAUCGUCACUGUGCCAAGCAACCGUUAAAAUCGAAGUAGACGGUACUGAAGAAAGGGGCUUCAACUCGACAGAUGAGAACACCCUAAAAUUGAUUGCUCCUUGGAUUGAAGAAGAUAUAUUAGUUUCUGCCCCAAAAGAAGAAACAGAGAUAAAUCAGAUUGAUGGGUCAAGAAAUGGGGACUGUGGUUCUAAGAGUGAUACUCAUGAGGAAAACGCUAUGGAGUGUAAUGAUAGUAGGAGGAAAAGAAGGACAAUAGAUCAUGAGGGAGAGAGUAAAGAUGAUAUUGUCAAGAGACAGAAGGUGAAGGAUGAAGAUGUGGAUGGUAAAUUGCAGAUAGUUGGUAGGGUUCUACGACCAAGGUCUACAGUGAAAUCUGAUGGUGGACAAAUAACUGAGGGGGGACCAAGUAAUGGUGGUUUUGUUGGGACAAACUCCACAGGGAGAAGUGCCUUUGAGGAGAAGGGGGUCAAGGCGGAAAAGGAAGAUAGUGGUCAUUUUGAUAGUAGGGACAGUUUUCAUUUAGGUAAUGUGUUGAGGAAAAAAUUAGGCCGUAAACGGGGGAGGCCUCCCAAGUUUCUGAAGAGUGAGUUUCAGCAAAAAUUGGCCAAUGUGGACCAUGCAGUAAACGAAAAGAUUGAACAAUCUGCUGAUCGAGGGGGUGUAAAAAAUACAAAGCGGAAGCGUGGUCGGCCUCCAAAGUCUCCACAGAAUGAGAAGUCUAAGAAAAAGUGGGGUGACAUGGAAAAGGAAUGGAUUUGUUUAUCUGCUAGUCAAGUGACCACUCAGAAGCCUAGGCGUGGGAGACCACCCAAGGCUCAGGGGAGUCAUCUGUCUGAGAUGAAAAGGGUUAAGGAGGCAGAGGUUAAUCAAUCUGCUGGCAAGGAGAGUGAUCAACCUGUUGGGGGGAAAAACUUAAAGCCUAAGCGUGGGAGGCCUCUGAAAGCUCGGGAGAAUGACAAAUAUGGGAAAAGGUGGGGUGAGAUGAAAAAGGAAGGGAUUGAUUUAUCUGCUAGUCAUCAGAUGAAGGAUGAAGAGAUUGAAAAACCAAAGUCUAGGCGUAGGAGCCUGCCCAAGGCUUUGGGGAGUGAUCUGUCUAAGAAGAAAGGGAUUGAGGUAAAGGAGGAAGAGCAUGGUCAAUCUGCUGGUGAAAUGAGCGAUCAGCCAAACAGUGAAGUGAGGGAAAACGCAAAGCAUAAGCGUGGGAGACCUCCAAAGGCUCAAAAGAAUGAUGGAUCUGUAAUAAACAUGGUUGAAGUGAGAAAUAAAGAGACUGGUGUACCUGUUUGUAAAGGUGUUGAUGAAUCAUAUGGAAAAGUGAGGAAGAAGCUAGAGCCUAAUCGUGGGAGACCUCCCAAGGUGAAAAAGGGUAAAAAGGUGCAUGCAUCUAGGAAAGACAAAUCAAUAGAAGGCAAUGUACAUUUUAUGAACCACAGUGUUGGGAAUAAUAGUUCAUUGGCAGGAAAGGGACUUGAGAAUGUAUACGGCAUGAGAUUACUUGCAGCUAAGAAGAUUGACUGCAGCAGUGAUGAGAAGCAAGGAGGGAAAAUUAAAAAGAAGGCAGGGAAAGUGGGACGCUGUCUAUUGCAGAGGCAGGCAGUGAGAGAUAAAAUUGUGGAAUUGCUUUUGGGUGCUGGCUGGGAAAUUCAGUAUAGGCCAAGGAAUGGUCAAGAAUACGAGGAUGCAGUGUAUGUUAAUCCUGAAGGAAGAACUCACUGGUCAGUCACCUUGGCUUAUCGGGUGCUUAAGCAGCAUUAUGAAGGCAGCAAAGGUGUUUCGGAUACUUGCAAGUCUGAUUUCAAAUUUACUCCAAUUCCAGAUGAGGAACUUUGCAUACUUACUAAAGUAAUGAAUAAGGUACGGUCAGACAAAAAUAAAAAUAAAAAUAAAAAUAAAUGGAACCAAGAGAAGGUUGAAAAACCAACUAAAAUAGUUUCUAAAAGGAUAAAGUGGAAACUGCACAAAAGAAAACUCGGUGCUGCGGCUAAUAUCAACUCUAAGAAGUUGAAGAGGGGGAAAUUAAAAUCCUUGCAUUGCAGACAGAAUGAUUUGGCCUGUACAACAGGUCAGGGAAAAACAGUGUCUGUCAGAGGUCGAAAGCGACUGGAAACUCAUGGCAGAAGGCAGUGUUCUCUAAUGGUUCGAAAUUCUCAAAAUAGCACAGAGUCUGAAAGUGAUGGCUAUGUGCUAUAUAAUGGGAAGCGAACUGUGCUCGCCUGGAUGAUUGAUCUGGGAACUGUCGUCCUAGAUGAGAAGGUGCAGUAUUUGAAACACGGGAAACCACAAGCGGUGAUUGAGGGUAGGGUUACAACAGGUGGCGUUCAUUGUGACUGCUGUAGUAAAACUUUUACAAUUGCAGAAUUUGAGGCUCAUGCUGGUGGCAGAUUCUGUCAGCCAUUCGGAAAUAUACAUUUAGAGACUGGAUCUUCACUCUUGCAAUGCCAGCUAGAUUCAUGGCAUAAACAAGAUGAGUCUUCUCGUAAAGGGUUCCAUUUCAUUGAUAUUGCUGGUGAAGAUCCUAAUGAUGAUACAUGUGGGAUCUGUGGUGACGGUGGGGACUUGAUUUGUUGUGAUGCUUGCCCAUCAACAUUCCACCAGAGCUGCCUAGAUAUAAAAAAGUUCCCCUCUGGGCUCUGGCGUUGCAUAUAUUGUUUGUGCAAAUUUUGUGGGAUGGCUGGCGGGACUACAUAUCAGAGAGAUGAUAAUAACAAAACUCCAUUACAUGCAUUACUGACAUGUUGUUUUUGCGAGGAGAAAUAUCACCAGUCCUGUACUCAGGUGAAGGAUGGUAUAAGUGAUGAUUCUGAAAGUUCAUCAGCCUUUUGUGGGAAGAAAUGCCAAGAGUUAUACAAGAGACUGCAGAUGCUUUUUGGGGUAAAACAUGAAUUGGAGGAAGGAUUUUCGUGGACUUUUGUUCGUCGAUUUUAUGUUGGUACUGAUAUUUCUCUCAGCGAGCCUCAUGAAGUUGAAUGCAAUUCAAAGUUGGCUGUUGCAUUGCAUAUAAUGGACGAGUGCUUUUUGCCUAUGGUUGACCAUAGAAGUGGGGUCAAUCUGAUUCGCAAUAUAGUCUAUAAUUUUGGGUCCAAUUUUAACCGAUUGAACUAUAGUGGUUUCUUCACUGCAAUCCUAGAGAGGGGGGAUGAAAUAAUUGCUGUUGCAUCAAUUAGGAUUCAUGGAAAUCAUUUAGCAGAGAUGCCAUUCAUUGGGACCCGCCACAUGUAUAGGCGUCAAGGAAUGUGCCGCCGGCUUCUAACUGCAAUUGAAAUGGCUCUGUCCGCUUUAGAUAUUGAGAAACUGGUUAUACCUGCAGUCUCUGAGCUAAAGGAAACUUGGACCUCAGUGUUUGGUUUCAAGCCCCUUGAAGGCUCACGCAAGAAAAUAUUGAGGAACAUGAAUAUGGUGGUGUUCCCUGGUGUUGAUAUGUUACAGAAACCAUUACUGAAGCAUCAGUUUCCUGAAGAAAAUAUGAAUCUAAUACAAGGAUUGAAGCCCACUGAGCUUAGGGAAAUUCAUACAACGAAAGAUGUGACAAAUAAUUUUGUCGAGAGAUCUUUAGCAGCUUUUGAUUUGAAAGGUUCUGCAGAGACUUGUAUACCACAUUCAUGCGACAUGAUAAAUGAACUUGCUGUAGUUGGUUCUGUUUCACUUCUUCCUGAUGGCUGCUUGAAUGAUUCAUCUGAAGUUGCAAUCCAGAGUGCUCAUACUAAGAAAUGUCAUGAGUCAGGUAUGACUUCUGAUAAUCUGGAUAGAAGAACAGAAAUUGUUGUUGAACCCCAUGAUUCUUCAUGCCAUACUGAUGAACAAUGCGGCAAUGUGAUAGCAAACAAUUCUGAUGAGAGAUAUUCAGCUGAAUUUGAUUCCAAAGUUUCUAGUGAGACUAUUGUACCUCGUGCCAGUAACAUAAUUGGUGAACCUGCUUCAGUGGAAUUUGUUUCACUUCUUCCUGAUGGCUUCUUGAAUGAUACAUCUGAAGUUGCAAGCCGGAGUGCUAAUACUAUAAAAUGCCACGAGUCAGGUUCACUAUAUCCUGAUGGGUGCUUGAAUGAUAUAAAGUGCCAUGUUCAGUUAAAUGUGACUUUAGAUACUCUGGAUGGAAGAAAUGAAAGUAUUUUGAACCCUCUUGGUUCUUUGUGCAAUGCUCAUGAGCAAAAUGGAGAUGGGAUGAUAAGUAAUUGUGGUGGGAGUUAAUCAGCUGUAUUUGAUUUGAAAGGUUCCAGUGAAUCAGCUGACGUCAUUAUUCAGGAAAGAAGUAAAAUACAAUGCCCUGAUAAAUCUGGUACGAUCUCUGAUCUGGAUGAAAGAGAAGAAAAUAUUUUGUGCUGUCUUGAUUCUUCAUGUGAUGCUUAUGAACAAAUGGCAAAGAUUACUGGGAAAGAGAAACAUCUGUCUGCUUCCAUUGCUAUGCCCUCUGGCAAUGCAUCAAAAGAAUUGCAUGGGCUAUUGAAACAGCAUAAUGCGUCAGAGGUGGAAAGUAAAUCGCCUGCAGUAUCUCAUAUUGGAUCCGAAGCUGCUAAUUGUUUAGGGGGAUUUCCACAUGCUUCAAGUGGUGAUACUGAAACUGUUGCUUGUGAAGAGUGAAAAUAGAAGUUAGGAACGUUGAGCAAAAUCCUCAUUGUCAUGGAGAGGAUUCUAUGCGUAUCACUGCUUAAAUCAUUUGUUCUCAAUCCCUGGACUUGGCUUGUGAGCAAGGAGUAAAAGUUUCAGAAGAGAAUGUGUUGUCACAAGUCUAAGACUUGUAAUAUCUCUUAUGGCGUUGUCAAGUCAACAUCCUCUAAAGCUCACCAAAGAGCCCAAAUUUAUUGGAAUGGGCAUUUUGCCGCAGUGCUUCUUGAACAAAACUUCACUUCUUUCUGCCAAAACAAUGAGUCUGAUGGCCGUGAAAUAAAAGUUACCCUUGCUAUGGAUAAUUCCACUUGCAAUGAUCUUUGACAUGUGGGAGCCUCUGAUGUCGGUGUGGAACCUAAAUUUUAUGGGCUCAUAAACACGAGUAGAUGAUGUCUAUGAUCUGAAAGAUGUUUCUACUAUGCCUCAAAAUGGUGCCCUUUCUAUUGAUUCUUAAUUUCUGAUAAGGCUCAUACAAUUACCAGAUUUUUAAAGCCCCCAGGUUCUGAUACUGAGCUUGAUCAUUCUAGUGCAACACAAAGCAAUUCUGAGUCCAUGUUUAGUUUGAGCUCUGCUCUUGGUGUUGCCCUUCUCUGUGUCAUCGGCAGGGGAUAAUUCAUGUGGUUCUCCUGGAAUAAUAGUUCUAUCAAACCAAGCUAAUUGAUUUUCUUUCAAUUCUUUCUGCAGUAGAAAUCUGGUAUUCUUUUGACAGUUGCCAGCAAUAGAUUUUCAACUUCAUGUCAAGGAGUGGUUGUCAUGAUGCCAUCACAUUUCUUGAAGUUGUCAUUUUGAUAAUCUAAUCUCGAAAUAUGUCUUUUCGGUAAGAAAUAGUGUUGGAAAAGAAUGAGAGGUGUACCAGAUGGACCUCUUCUUGAUGGUAUUUUUUGUUGUUUUCCUUUUUGUCCUGUAAUGCUGGGAUACAAUUGAAAGGUCUUGCCUGUUACUCUGGUCGACCAAGACCUUGAGAAAUUCUAUCUGAAGCAGAGGAAUUUGAUGUCGCAGUAUCUUUGCAUGGAUUGGGUGUUGGACCUACGUCUUUCCAGGAAGGCACUGUGCGUGGAGGAAGCUUUGGCAGCCGCGAAGCUCUUUGGUGGUUGAAGUAACGUGACUUGCAGCAUGUUAUACUAGAAACAGAUGCUUUAUUGCUUGUAGAUGCCAUCUCUCCACCCAUGAUGGAUUGUUCAUAUUUUGGUCUUUUAGUGUAGGAUAUUAGAGUCCUGUUAACAAAGUUUGUGAUGUCUCUGUAGUUUAUGUGAAAAAAUCUAUGGAUCAGUGUACUCAUGUAAUUCAUAGCUUAUUCUUUUUUAAUAGUUAAACAAUUAUUUUAUAUGUAUAACAUCUUAUACAAAGCAAAUAAAUAUAAUUUUUGGACUAGAUGGCUGUCGUUUAUAUGGAUGGGCCUUUUAAUCUGCUAGUGUUAGACGCAAACGGAGUCGUCUUGCCAUUUGACUUUUACAGUAGCGCAGGCAGAGUGCAAUGAGAAGGGAAGAGGGUGAGGCAGAACUAGCCGUAAGAGAACAAGGAAUGCAAUGAUUACAUGUGCAUUGGGCCAUAGUGAAAGAAUAUGCCAAUUUGCACCAUUACUAAAUCUGCUAUAUCUGGACUCGCCGUCUCGCUCGCAUAGUAUUUGCUCUAAGUCUUCUCGUUGUCACUCCCUCCUUGCCAUUGCUCUCACCUUUUUAUCAUCUCUCUUACUCUUUCAUCGUGGCUCUUGUGGUUGUCUUUCGCAUUCGGAGUUGCAAAGCCAUACAUGGACAAGCGUCUCGCGUUCGCAUUCUCCCUCACGCUCACCCAGUUGAGAGUUGGGAUUUAUGGACAAAACACAAAUACGGGCCAGAAGGAGUGUGCUUCCUGGGAUGGUAGAAGUAGAUUUAGAAAUUUUCUUGGAAAAUUAAUUCUGGGAUUUGAAUUCCUACGUGGGUGUAGAGAUUGUUCCAAUCAUGCUUUUGUUUUACUUGAGAAGUAUAAGAUUGAAGCAACUUUCAAAGAAUGGGAGUGUACCGUAAUUUGUGGACUUGUUCGCUGCAUAUGUGUUCUCUAGAUCUAUAAUAAAGUUAGUCUUUUGGGGUUGCAGUA